GGGGGAGCGACUGCUGGCAAGCAAACAGCAGCAGCUGGGGUUGUCUCAGCACCGGGUGGGUUCCCAUCCCUCGGUUGGAGCACGCGUCUGUGCCUGGAUCUGCAGGAGCCCGGUUCCCCCUGGCUGACUGCAGUCGGUCUCUCAGACCUGGCCAUCAGGCUCCUGCAGUUGUUUACCACCAGAAAUAUGACUUCGCAAUUCUAUCAAAAUUAAGACUGGAUUAAAGUGGGUUAAAGAAGGGGAAAGUUUGGCUUGGUUGCAAUCCUGCCCUAUAAGGGUCCUUGGGGUGUGGUAAAUCUGCCAUUCUUCCCCUAGGGCCUUAUUCCUCUGCCACAAACCCCACGGGGCAUCCGCGGUGUCACCGUGGGCAGCCUGGGGACGGGGUCGAUGUCAGCAGCCAGAUGGCUCUGGAAGGAGAAAAAAACCCUUUGGGUGCAGGGGGGGAUUGGGGCCACGAGUCCACCCCCUUCCCAGCACAUUGCCAGGCAGUUCUGUGGGUGAAACACCCCACAGUGACCCCAUGUCGCGGGGCCUGGGGACCAUCACCCUGGGGGGGUGCCAGGGGUGGCCGUCCCCACGUCACCUUGGUGCCCGCGGGUGGUGGCCGGUGGCGCGGUGCCUGCCAGAGCCGCAGGAGUUAAGCGCGGGGCUGGCAGGAGCUGGCUCAGGUGGGUGGCACGCCGUGGAGACAAGACUCGAGUGAGGAGGAGGAGGAGGAGGACGGAGAAAGGGAGGGGAGAAGAAGGGAGGAGGAGGAGGAGGAGGAGGAGGCAGCAGCGGGGAGCGGUGUGCGUGCGGCCGCAGCGGAGCCGUGCGAGGGGAGGAUGGCUGCUUCUCCCCGCUGCCUCCGGGCCGCGAGCUGAGGGCGAGCGUGGCAGGGGGUGGCCUGCUGGCCCUGGGCCCCGUCCCCGCGGGACGAGGACAAGGACCCCGCUUCGACGGGUCCAGCACGGCUCCAGCCCUUUGUCUGCUGGCGGGGGCUCGCGGGAGCCAGAUGAGCGGGCGGCCGCAGCGGGGAGCAGGCAGACGGAUGCUCACGGCGCUGGGGGACGGGAGGAGAGCCCAAGGGAAUGACCUCGAGGAGCAGCCUGGAAGACGCAGCAGAGCCCCGAAAUGAGCCAUUUGGGGAGGAAGAGGAGGCGAAGCUCUGAUUAGAAGACCAGCCCUGAGCGGGGGGUUAUGUGCCCUCGGCGGGGGGAGGCAGGCAGGGCAGCCGGCAGCGGGGGCUGAUCGGUGUGAGGGCUUCCCCCUGGGGCACCUUCUCCUGCGGACGCCGUGCCCACCCGCAGU
rnacentral:lncRNA from 1 species